ACAUGUGAUUUCUCCUAAGCAAUGUGAAUAAAUUCUUAAAAAGAGACCUAAUAGUUAUAUAUCGGUUAUCUCUGUUGCUCCUGCUCUUAUUUUUUCUUGUAGUACACGCGUCUGACGCUUAGACAGACUUGGAUACAGGGAUAUGUCCCUACAAAAACAUUCCAAAUGCAUGGAAAAGCUUAAAAAAUUUGAACACACGUACAUUGGAUACAUAUCCGUAUAUAAGACUCGCACCUGACUCCAACUAACUAGCUAGAAAUCUACUUUUUUUAAAUACAGGAUAUUGGGGAAAAAUGUGUUUGAGAUCAAUUGAAAAGUAAACAUGUUAUGCUAGUACUAUCUUUUCUUGCUAAGUUCCAUAGUUGGAUCAAAGGAAAGGAUCUAUGUAUGUGCUUUGGUAUUAAAGUAAGUUUAAGAGAGUUUUCGUAAGCAGUUAAUAAAAUGUAAGGAAAAAGAUAAAACAUAAAUGGGGAUUUUGGUUUUCAGGUUUACAAAUCACUGUUUCGCUCUGUGUUUGAAAUCUAUCGAUAUGGGUCUGUCUCUUUCUUUUUGGUUGCUUUUUCGGAGACUGAUUUCAGUAUGAAUCUUUACUUGGGUUUGCGUUUUCAUUUCUUUGCCUUUGUCUUUGUUUUUGUUUUUGUCUUUUGCCUUUUCAUUUCUAUUUUAUGGUUUUUGGUUUUCAGGUUUAGACAUCACUGUUUCGUUCCGUGUUUCAAAUCUAUUGAUCUCGAUCUGUUUGUUCUUUUUGUUUCUGUUUCUCCUCUGUUUCUGUUUUUUAUGAUUUAUGCAAUCCCCCUAACUAUGUUUUUUUUAUGGGAACAUCUCUGUUUUUUAGUUUUUGAUACAUGCUUUUCACUUGAAUUUAUUUGAGGUUUUUUUUUUUACCUUCUCAUUGCCAAAUCCGAGUAAGGCUGUCAAGCUUGAGUUCAACUUGACAAUGACUGAAUUGAUUUGAGUUUUACUUGUAGCCGAAUCCAAGUGACUUAUGGGCACAUGUAUAUGGUUUUUACCCCUAGUAUUGAUGUUCAUUUUUUAGAUACGAGAGUUACACAUUUUAAUUUUAGAUUAAUUCUAGAUGGUUGAGCCAUGCAUGAUUAGUUGAUUAAAGAUUUUACUUACUCCGAUGAAUCAAAAUAACUUUCUUUUGUGAUAAAUGUUCUCUUUCUCAUUCUUUAUGUUGGAUUGAUCUUCAUGUUUAAAAAUGCUAAUUAUACUGCUAUGACAGAUCUCUGGUUAAACUUAUUGUGAAGGGAAACUAUUUGAUUCUAAAUGCUGCUUUUAAAAUAUUUUUGGAUUACCUUGCAGUGGAAUUCAAAAGCGGAUAUCUUCAAGCCCCAAUGCUAUUAAAUUAAUAGUAUUUUCAUUCAUAAGGAUCAGCUUGGCAUACACAGAGUUGAAGAGAAUUUAUGAGGUGAUGGCAAUUUUUGUGAAACUAAAGUUGAAUUCUGCAGAUUCCUUGUUAAUGCUUUAUGUUGUUAUGCACUCUCCCAUGGCUUAAAUUCAUUCUUUAAUGCCCUAAAACUUGAGAUAAAUGGGGAUUUUAGAUGCCAGUUUAACUUGAUACCCAUAUUUCUUUUAUGGAUAUAGUGCCUAAAGUUCAACUAAGACCACAUACUUCAUUUCUAGUGAAAUUGUUUAAGCAAUUGUGCCUUUGUAUAAAUUGUUAAAAUUCUGUAAAUGUACGGGUUAAACAUGGUUCUACUUUUCAGGGAAUUCGUUUGACAAUAGGGUUAUGCUGAUAACGCUUUCUGCAUAAUAUGGUGACUAGUCUAGCAGUCUGUGGAAUCGACCAAACUGAAUAAAGUAAAUUAAAAACAAUCAUCAUGUGUUUCUUUAAUUUUCAUUUUUCUUGAAGUAUCCGUGUUCAACACAUUCCCGGACGUGGGUAUAGCAUAUGACCCUCCAAAUACAUGAAAGGUUAUGUUACUCGGACUUCAGUGUAAGUAAUGGACAUAGGCAUCUGACCUGAGUAUUUUCAGUUUUUUCUAGGAUCGCAUGUAUUUGGAGGACUUUUGGAGGACUAUAUCUCGAUGCCCAUGUCUGAGCAUGUGUUGGAGAUGAAUUCAGACACGAUAGUUAUUUAGGCAAAAGGAAGAGUUGGUUUAAUAUAGAGAAAAACUUACCAAAAGAAAAUAGUCAAACAUACCCAUAUACGAUGCGUGCGUGUCACAUGUACCGAGUGUUGGUGCACUCAUGUGGUCCUCUGACUGCCUUUUUCGCUCCAAACUAUCAAACUGGAUGAAUUCUAAUGUUCGUUAGUCAGUUGUUUCAACUCAGUUUUGCCGUUUGAUUUUUAUUUGAUCACAAAAAAAUCCACUCCGCUAUUGGGAUAGAAAAGGUUUGAUCUAUUAUCUACCUAAACCCUAAACGUUCCUUUCUCCUUUCUUAACUACUGUUUUUUCCAUUCUUUUCAAAUAUUUUCCUUCUGUCCUGUUUUCUUUCUCCCAGCCUCCUUUCUUGUCCUUUCUUUCUU
rnacentral:lncRNA from 1 species